rnacentral:rRNA from 1 species
ACAUCAUGCCCCUUAUGACCUGGGCUACACACGUGCUACAAUGGGCGGUACAAAGGGUCGCGAACCCGCGAGGGGGAGCCAAUCCCAAAAAGCCGCUCUCAGUUCGGAUUGCAGGCUGCAACUCGCCUGCAUGAAGAUGGAGUUGCUAGUAACCGCAGGUCAGCUAUACUGCGGUGAAUACGUUCCCGGGGCUU